GUUGGGUAGGGGAGCGUUCUGUAAGCCUGUGAAGGUGUGCUGUGAGGCAUGCUGGAGGUAUCAGAAGUGCGAAUGCUGACAUAAGUAACGAUAAAGCGGGUGAAAAGCCCGCUCGCCGGAAGACCAAGGGUUCCUGUCCAACGUUAAUCGGGGCAGGGUGAGUCGACCCCUAAGGCGAGGCCGAAAGGCGUAGUCGAUGGGAAACAGGUUAAUAUUCCUGUACUUGGUGUUACUGCGAAGGGGGGACGGAGAAGGCUAUGUUGGCCGGGCGACGGUUGUCCCGGUUUAAGCGUGUAGGCUGGUUUUCCAGGCAAAUCCGGAAAAUCAAGGCUGAGGCGUGAUGACGAGGCACUACGGUGCUGAAGCAACAAAUGCCCUGCUUCCAGGAAAAGCCUCUAAGCAUCAGGUAACAUCAAAUCGUACCCCAAACCGACACAGGUGGUCAGGUAGAGAAUACCAAGGCGCUUGAGAGAACUCGGGUGAAGGAACUAGGCAAAAUGGUGCCGUAACUUCGGGAGAAGGC
rnacentral:rRNA from 1 species